AUUGAACGCUGGCGGCAGGCCUAACACAUGCAAGUCGAACGAGUGGCGGACGGGUGAGUAAUGUCUGGGAAACUGCCCGAUGGAGGGGGAUAACUACUGGAAACGGUAGCUAAUACCGCAUACCAUCGGAUGUGCCCAGAUGGGAUUAGCUAGUAGGUGGGGUAACGGCUCACCAAGGCGACGAUCCCUAGCUGGUCUGAGAGGAUGACCAGCCACACUGGAACUGGAACACGGUCCAGACUCCGACGGGAGGCAGCAGUGGGGAAUAUUGCACAAUGGGCGCAAGCCUGAUGCAGCCAUGCCGCGUGUAUGAAGAAGGCCUUCGGGUUGUAAAGUUCUUUCAGCGGGGAGGCGGUACUCGCAGAAGAAGCACCGGCUAACGCCGUGCCAGCAGCCGCGGUAAUAC
rnacentral:rRNA from 1 species